UCAGCGGCUGCGGCCGCCCCGCCCCGGCGCCUAGGGGCUUCCCAGCCUCCUUGGUUCUCAUCAACUCCCAGGCAUCCGUGGCGCUCCAACGGUGGAGGGCACAGGAAGCUCCCCGAGCUGGCCCGCCGCUGACCGGCCACUCCUCCCGGACUACAGCGCGCCCAGGUGUUGCGCUGGAAACCCCGGGAGCAGCCUCCGAGCCCACGUGCCAGGCCGGGGGAGGCCUGCGUGGACACCUGCCAGAAAGAUGAUGCAGCUGCCCAGUACGAUGCCACAAGCCGUUGGGGCUGUUUUUCCAGUCUGGUGAUAGUGGCUCUCUGUCAGCCACAAGACCAAACCCACUUUUUAGAACCAAUACUUGAGCCAGAUAUGAAGUCGAAAUUACAACCCUCAACCCCAGCUCUCCUUCAGAAGCCCAAACCUCAGGGCCUCUGUUUGGCCACAGUGGGCUGGUGAAAUGACUCAGAGGUUAAGAGCAGUGACUCUCGUCCGAAGGUCCUGAGUUCAAAUCCCAGCAACCACAUGGUGGCUCACAACCAUCCGUAAUGAAAUCUGAC